GCGGGGCGGGAGACCAUGCGGAAAGCGGUGUUGGUCACCGGGGCGAGCAGCGGCGUUGGCCUCGCCCUCUGCAAGCGGCUGCUGGUGGAGGACCACGAGCUGCACCUGUGUCUGGCCUGUAGGAACAGGAGCAAAGCGGAAGCGGUCUGCGAGGCUCUGCUGGCCUCUCACCCCCUCGCCGAGGUCAGCAUCGUGCAGGUGGAUGUCAGCAACCUGCAGUCGGUGUUCCGGGCUUCCGAGGAGCUCAAGCAAAGGUUUCAGAGAUUAGACUAUGUCUAUCUGAACGCUGGGAUCAUGCCCAACCCACAGCUGAAUAUCAAAGCGCUUUUCUCUGGCCUCUUUUCAAGAAAAGUGAUUCAUAUGUUCUCCACAGCUGAAGGAUUGCUGACCCAGGAAGAUCAAAUCACUGCCGACGGGCUCCAGGAGGUGUUUGAGACCAACGUCUUUGGCCACUUCAUCCUGAUUCAGGAACUGGCACCUCUCCUCUGUCACAGUGACAGUCCUUCCCAGCUUAUCUGGACAUCGUCUCGCAAUGCGAGGAAAUCGAAUUUCUGCCUUGAGGACAUCCAACACAGCAGAGGCCAGGAGCCCUACAGCUCCUCCAAGUACGCGGUUGACCUGCUCAGCGUGGCUGUGAACAGGAACUUCAACUCGCGGGGUCUGUAUUCCAGUGUGGUGUGCCCGGGUACCAUGGUGACCAAUAUGACGUGUGGAAUUCUCCCUCCCUUUGUGUGGACACUGCUGAUGCCAAUCAUAUGGCUGCUUCGCUUUUUUGCAAAUGCUUUCACUCUGACACCGUACAAUGGAACAGAAGCCCUGAUACUGAAAAUCAGGUGUGGCGGUCAAGUAUAUACUGAGCGUCGGCGGUGCGAGGAACACUUAGAAGACAAAACCUCCAGGUACUAAGGCGCUUAGAGUCGUAUUUGGAAAAAAAGAGAAUGUCGAAAAUAAAAUAGGCGAGAAAAUAAGACAUUCUGUCAUCAGGUGGUAAGUCCUCGGACUAAUCACCGGGGGAUCAGUGGGAGCCGGGCUGGUUGAAGCAGGCUUUGCUUCCUUGGUCUGGGCUCUGAGGGAUAAGUUGGCUCUGGAUAGGACAGCGUGACGCACGUCACAGUUUAAAGAAAUCUGUUGUGACCCUGCUGUUUUUUCCUAAAAUGUCGAUGGAUGAGUCCGUAUCCCCCUGACUGCCAUUCAGUGAUGGUUGUAGAUGCUGGUGGAUGUGGGUGGAUGGGGAUUUGGGUACAGCGCACGUGCAGGAAGGAUCUCAGGUGAGAUUCACCUCCUUACGUGGGCUAAGCCGGAGUGGCCGAAAGCACAGUGGUUGAGGGCGUGGACUCUGGAAUUCUACGGAUUCUCUUCAGAUCCCACGUCUCCGGUUUCUGGCUGCGAACGCCGGGGCACAUGUUUUCAUUUGCUUUUAUCAUUGUCGGCAAAACAGGAAUUCCAGGCACGGACGAGAGGAAGCUUUACUAUAAAGCGUUUUGUGUGUUUCAGCGUUAACGAUUUCAAAGAAAACUGUCCUAAUGAAAACAGUAUAGUUCUGGCAGGUGCAUGGACAGGUCAGUGGAGUAGAAUAGGAAAUUCAGGACAGGCCCCCAGCACACAGGCAUCUAGUAUAUGACAACGAUGGCCUUCCAAAUUAGUGGGAGAGAGGGGUUAUUCUAGAAAUUGUGCCAAAAAAUAGAAUAGGAUCUUCAUACCUCACACCCAAAUAAAACUCUAGAUAAAUUCAAAGAUUUACACACGACGGAGUUAAAAUAUAUAAUGACUAGAAGGAAAUAUGGGGGACGUUUCUAAAUCGUCUAAGAGUGUGGGGACAUCCUUACUCCCAGGAACAGACUGAACAUUUUGAUUAAAUAAAAGUAAUCAAAUUUUGUGUGACCCAAAUCCUCACUGUAAAUCUACUCCAAAGACUAACCACGAUGCCCAAGAAAAGGUACCUGGCACUCAUAUCACAGUAACAGGUUAAGUUUCUUCCUGGUUAAGGAGCUUCAACAGUCCAGAGAAACAACAACCUAUUGGAACAGUGGGCAAAGGGUGUGAACAGAGAGUUCUUAAACUGUCUUAAUCGCACGGAAAGGUGCUCGACCUUACUCAAACUAGGAGGCAGCCCCCUUAAGGCUGUAAUGAGAUGGUUUCUCAACUCUGAUCAGCAAAGAUUAGAAAGUUUGGUACCGCACUGUCCUGUCAGGGGCGUAGAGAGAGAGCGUUCUCCCAUCUAGCCAGGGGGAGGGUUGACUGACGUAGGCUGGAUCAAGGACUGUUGGGCAAGAUCAUUCAAAAUAACACACGCACGUCCCCUUGACCCAGAAAUUCCAUCAUUGAUAUUUAUCUUACAGAUGUUCUCAGACUUAGAUCAUUCGCUGCAGCGUGGUUUGUACUAGCAGAGGCUGGAGACCACGUGUAUGUCCAUCCUUUGGAAAUUGAUUGUGUACAUUACAUCUUUGAUUGAUUGUGUCAAUUUCCAUCCAUGAGAUAGAACACUGUUUCUUUAAAAAAGAAUGAAACAGCUCUCUAUUUACCGAGUUGAAAAUAUCUCAAAGGGCCUAUUGUUCAAAUGAAAAUGGCAAAGUAUCGAAUAGUAUACAUUUGGCUUCCAUUUGAGUAAGAGAAAAGAAUAUACAAGCUUUUAAGCAAAUACCUUUUCUUUGGAGGAAUAUGUAAGAUACUAGCUUGCUUCCAGAGGGGAGAGCUAGAUGGCUGGAAAAUUGUGAAGGUAGGGAGACUUACUUUUUACCAGAACAUCUCCUGAAUGGUGUUCACGUUCAGGCCUAUUAAGAACGUGAAAUAACGUAACAAUAUACGUUGUACUUACCGUGGCAUGAGCUGAGUAUCAACUCUGAAAAAGCCCGUCUCUAUGCUGUGAACUUCAAUUUGGGAUUAAGGGGAGAGAUGGCUAAAACACAAGGGGUCUUUGCUUUAAAUAAAUUUUCUAAGAGGACCAUUCCUUCAGGGUACAGUAGUGGUUCGUGAAGACGUUACAGUUCGCUGAUGAUAUUCAAGAGAAGGUUUAGAGUUUGUUUGGAGCUUGGUAAAGUGCUGAUUAUCAAUCCCCACCAGCCUCACUCAUGUCGGGCAGAAGAAGAAAAGAAUCAUGGACACCCUCUUCCUUCCUAGGUAUGGCUUUUCCACCAAAAGCCCGAGUCUCUCAAUCCCCUGACCAAAUACCUGAGUGCCACCACUGGCUUUGGAAGCAAUUACGUAAUGACCCAGAAGAUGGACCUAGAUGAAGACACCGCUGAAAAAUUUUACCAAAACUUACUGGA